CCACCUUGAGCAAUAUAAGUCCCGGGGCAAUACUUCAUAUAGUAUUGAAUCGUUCUUCGCUUGAGUUCUAUUUUUCCAUUCCAUUUUAACUAUUAAAUUAUAAACAAUAUUUCUUUAUUUCACUGAACCUAUCAAAUAUCUAUCCAAACCAUCUUUUGAACCUAUUUUCUCAGCUUCCGCUAUAAAAAAAUCAUCUAACUCCA
rnacentral:lncRNA from 1 species